ensembl:lncRNA
GAAAUCCAGAGUGCGUUUUAUUAUAUUUUGUUGUGCUAAUAAACACUGGAGCUUAUUUGACAUGCAGACGGGUAAUUGAAAUAAACGCGUCGCCGGUAAAUAACAAGUGUUUGAACACGCAGACAUGAGAGCGAGGCCCUCCUUGGAGAGAAAGUGCGUCCUGCGCCGUCUGCAUCUUAAAACUUUGUGUCAUUGUUGUCGCGUUAGCGCUGAUAUAAUCACCGUAAUUAAGUGCGGAGAGCCGGAUGCAAUCAUUUAAUGGCUGGAUAUUGUAGGGCUGUCGCGCUUAUCAAAACCCACCAAAUGUUUUCCCUCCCUGGAAAUUGCAGCCUGUCUGCAAUGCAGAGAGUUGUUUUUUUAUGAGGAGGUUUUGAUUGAUUUGUAUAAUACUUCAUAUUUGAACUUGAAGCAAAAGUUUUUAUUUUAUAUUUUUUUUGUUUUGUUUUUUGUACAAAUUACUUUCAUGUCAUCAUAUCUAUCGAUUUAUAUUUAAGAAAAAAAAUCAUACUAGAUAUUUUAACAUGAAUGAAUGUGCUUUGUCUAUUUUAUAUGGAAGCAUUAUUAAAUCAUAUUAAGGACCUAUGUGGAAUACAGGCCUCCAAUAUUGAUGUCAUUAUUUUUUCUUUUACCAACCAGCAAAUGAGAAUUCAUGUGCAGUCUUAAAGUUUAUCCUCUCUCUGCAAACAUGCAAUUAUUCCUUUUAUUGAUGACAGGAAAGGGGAGUAGCUCACGUUCAGUCAUUUUUCUGCUGGACGGAAAUCACUCCAUGGAGGGGAUGCGGCACUGUGUGUUUAAUGGUUUGAUUGCAUUGGAGAAGGCAGCCACUGGUAAUGCCGUUAUAGAGGGAAAUAUCACUUGGAGACGUUAUUGGCAACAAGAGAAAGUCAAAGAAUUAGCCUAAUGGGGAGAAAGAGGUGGUGGCGGGGAGAGAGUUGUGUCGGGUGUCAGAUACUUUCUAUUCUCCAUAUUGCUCUGUGUCUCUGUGCGUCUGUCUCUAUCCCCU